CACGACGCAUAUCAAUAAGCGGAGGAAAAGAAACUAACAAGGAUUCCCCCAGUAACGGCGAGUGAAGCGGGAAGAGCUCAAGCUUAAAAUCUCCAUACUUGUAUGGCGAAUUGUAGUCUAUUGAGGCUGUUGUCAGCAUCGCGAUUGGGGACAAGUCCCUUGGAAAAGGGCAGCAUGGAGGGUGAUACUCCCGUCUCUGCUCCAAUCUGCGGUGUGUACGAUACGCUUUCUUUGAGUCGAGUUGUUUGGGAAUACAGCUCAAAGUAGGUGGUAAAUUCCAUCUAAAGCUAAAUAUUGGUGCGAGACCGAUAGCGAACAAGUACCGUGAGGGAAAGAUGAAAAGAACUUUGAAAAGAGAGUUAAAGAGUACCUGAAACUGUUGAAAGGGAACCGUAUCGUUUCCAGUGUUGUAUCCUAUGCAUAUUUCAUUCGUGGAGUAAUUUACGGGUGCCCUGUGCAUGGGUGUGACGUCAGGGUCAGUUUGUAUGCUGCGGGAGAUGGUCAGUGAGGAGGUGCGUCACUUCGGUGAAAGUUAUAUCUCGCUGUCUAGUAGCCGUGGUUGAGACUGAGGUGCCUACAACAUGCCUUAAGGUUCUAUGUUGUCUCGUGUUGGUGACUGCUUUGAUAGCUUGCUAUGUCUGUGGUUUAUUAAUGCGAUUGAUGAUGUGGAUAACUUUUGCUGUUCGGGACUCUGGCGAAAUGGAGCGAUACGACCCGUCUUGAAACACGGACCCCU
rnacentral:rRNA from 1 species